GUGAAUGCAUGAUUGCUUGCUGACAGCGAAAAAUAGAACCCCCACAUUAUAUGGCCAGUUGCUAAUUGCUACGAGUGAACAAUAGAAUUUGUAUCAGGCUCAAGAAAUACAUAUCCUUUUAAACAUGCUAUUAUCUUACUUGAAUUAGCAAAAUGGGGCAAAUUCCUUUCAAUAGCUUAUCUGGACAUCCUGGAUGGUUAUCCAGCUCGAUCCCUUUUUUACCUUAUUGUUUCCGUCUUCCUCUUUGAGCCAACGGUGGAGCCACCGACAUCUUGUAACUCGGCGACUAAGUACGUUUGUUAGUGAUGCAUAAUUUUCUAUAUGUGUUGUGACGUAAAUACAGUGAAAAUGUUGAUGACGAAGCCCGAAUGGUCAUCUAACUUGUCUGGGAGGUGGCUCUACCACUACUUUGAGCUUUGAUCCUCACUGUGCCCUUUUGUUCCCUCACUCGACCCCUUCGCUCUAGUUGCCCCCAUCCUAUUGUUGGAGAACCACUCUCUUUCCACCUCCUCCCUUCCUCGACCUCUUAAUCCUCAUCUCUAACCACAGCAAUACCCCCUAUCACCUUCUUUCAGGAGAAAAUGACAUAUCUAUCACUCUUAUCUGCUGGUUUCGUUAGAAUACCACUGCUAACAUGGGCUUCGGUAAAAUUCACCACUAAUGUGUACACUGCCGCAAAUAUACCAUUUUGGAGUAAGUUGCAUCUUGCUCCUUCUUUUUGGUUCCUGUCAGAUUUUCUAGGACGAAAUUGCCCCUCUUCAUUUGUUGCCACCUUUCUAUCCAGCCAGCAGAACAAGAACACGCGUGAGGAGGGGCAGCCGAGAGAACGAGAGGACAGAGAGACGUGAGAGCAAACGUAGAGAGAGAGAGAGAGAGCAAUUCUUCAGGUUUUUCGUGUAGGGACCCGACAAGAAAUAGGAGUAAGACUAAGGAGAGUGCUACAACAACGUGGGUGCUCCUUAAUAACUUGUGUUAUUUAGCUGGACCAUCAUCCAAACUGCCUAGUCAUCCAUGACAACAUGUGGUUGUAGCCCUCUAUGCCUAGAAUUCACGUGGAUUGGCUUUAUAUGUAAAAGAGGCAUUGGAGUGGUUAGCUCAAACAUUCAAAACAAUUUAUGUCUAAACACUAUUUAAAUUUUGAAUUAGCUUUAGAACCAUUAGAAUGAGUAAAAUCAUAGAAUUAGUGCAUAAAUACUUAUAUUGUAGUAAAAUUUAAAUCCUAAAAAUAAUUAUAUUUUGGAUAGAAUGAGUAAGUUAAAAAAAAAUAGAACACAUAAACUCAAACAUAAACUUGAGUGUUGUAUCGUCAGAAACAUGGAUAUGCAUUCCCUAACUUUAGGCUAUUCACAGUGCGGCGGUCGUGGCAAGUAGUAUCACCAUGCCAUGUCCGCCGCCGGUCGUCGUGGCAGAGAGAAGGGGAGGAGAGCGUAGCCUCAACAGGGUGCUCACAUCCUCUGUAAGAUGCAAGUGCCUCGGGAAUGAUUGCAGCCAGGGGGAUGGCGGGGAGCAGCGAUGUGAAGGUCGCAUCCUCGCCUUCGCUCGCCUUGACGUGGGUCCCACUAUGUAUGCGAAGAGAAUGGAGUGAGAAGGGCGGCGACUAGAGUGAGGGGCAAGUAGGGGCGAAUCUAACAAAAAAUAGGAGGUCUUGACCGGAUGACCAAAGCAGUUUAACAUAAAUUGAAACAUAUUGUCUCAUAUAUUUUAUUUUUUCUAGAUAUACUUAUUAACGUAUCCAUGGAAGAAAUUGGAAGAAAUUUAUAGGGGUAUUAGAGGGUCUUCGUAGUUCCGGCGCCGGUAGGGGGGCGGAAGACCCCCUGCCCACACGCCAGCUCCGCCGCGGGGGGCACGGGGUUGCCUUACCUCACUAAGUGGCGGUCGUCAUGUAGAUGUCCCCCGGCGGCUGGCCCGAGCUCCACACGCCGUCGUCCGCCCUCAGAUCUACCCCCGUUGCCCAGAUCUAUGUCGCCGGAGUGCCUCAGAUCUGUGUUGCUGCCAAGGAGAGGCGGACACCUCUGUCAGCCGCUGUCGUCCCUAGCGCUGCCUCCAGCAGCGCCCACCUCCGUUGACCGCCGUCGUCCUGAGCUCCGCCCACAGUGCUGGCUGCCGCCGCCUCGAGCCACGCCGCGCCGCUCGAGCUCUGCCCGACGCGAAGGAGGAAGGGGAGAAGAUGCCGAAGAGCAAAGAAGAGAGCGCCGCUGGCGCAAAGGGGAGGAAGAAGAGAGCGUCGCCGACGUGAAAGGGGAGGAAGAGUAGAGCGGUGAAAGGCGUCGUUGGAGUGGAAAAAGUCGAAAGUGACAGAGAGGAUGGAGAAGGGUAUUUUUAUUAUGAUUCUCUUAUCUUUAGGGUUUUAUUGUAAAUAUCUGGACUUUUAUAUAAAUAGAAAAAUUGUAAGGGUUGAAAUAGAAAAGUUCAGGGAGUGACUUGAAAAUGUUAGAGCCACUUGCCCUAUGGAGGAGGC
rnacentral:lncRNA from 1 species